UACCUGGUUGAUCCUGCCAGUAGUCAUAUGCUUGUCUCAAAGAUUAAGCCAUGCAAGUCUAAGUACGAGCUCUCGUACAGUGAAACUGCGAAUGGCUCAUUAAAUCAGUUAUGGUUCAUUUGAUCGUACAGUUUACUUGGAUAACUGUGGUAAUUCUAGAGCUAAUACAUGCGAGAAGCGCCGACCUCGCGGGAGGCGUGCAUUUAUCAGACCAAAAACCGGCCGCGUCUUCGGGCGCGUUCGCCUUGGUGACUCUGGAUAACUUUGCGGAUCGCACGGUCUAGCACCGGCGACGGAUCAUUCAAGUGUCUGCCCUAUCAACUUUCGUCGGUACGGUAUUUGCCUACCGAGGUUCUUACGGGUGACGGGGAAUCAGGGUUCGAUUCCGGAGAGGGAGCCUGAGAAACGGCUACCACAUCCAAGGAAGGCAGCAGGCGCGCAAAUUACCCAUUCCCGACGCGGGGAGGUAGUGACGAAAAAUAACAAUGCAGGACUCGUUCGAGGCCCUGUAAUUGGAAUGAGUACACUUUAAAAGCUUUAACGAGUAUCCAUUGGAGGGCAAGUCUGGUGCCAGCAGCCGCGGUAAUUCCAGCUCCAAAAGUAUAUAUUGAAU
rnacentral:ncRNA from 1 species